rnacentral:rRNA from 1 species
GCGCCAGACUCCUACGGGAGGCAGCAGUGGGGAAUAUUGGGCAAUGGGCGCAAGCCUGACCCAGCAACGCCGCGUGAAGGAAGAAGGCUUUCGGGUUGUAAACUUCUUUUAAGAGGGAAGAGUAGAAGACGGUACCUCUUGAAUAAGCCACGGCUAACUACGUGCCAGCAGCCGCGGUAAUACGUAGGGGGCAAGCGUUAUUCGGAUUUACUGGGUGUAAAGGGAGCGUAGACGGCGCUGCAAGUCCGGAGUGAAAGUCCAUGGCUUAACCAUGGUACUGCUCUGGAAACUGUGGAGCUUGAGUGCGGGAGGGGCAGGCGGAAUUCCUAGUGUAGCGGUGAAAUGCGUAGAUAUUAGGAGGAACACCGGCGGCGAAGGCGGCCUGCUGGACCGUAACUGACGUUGAGGCUCGAAAGCGUGGGGAGCAAACAGGAUUAGAUACCCUAGUA